rnacentral:rRNA from 1 species
ACAUGCAGUCGAACGGUAAGGCACCUUCGGGUGUACGCGAGUGGCGCACGGGUGAGUAACGCGUGGGUAAUCUGCCUUCGGGUUUGGGACAACUUCGGGAAACUGGAGCUAAUACCAAAUAAGACCACGAGGUCCUUGGGCCUUGCGGAAAAAGGUGGCCUCUUCUUGAAAGCUAUCGCCUGUUGAUGAGCCCGCGUCCCAUUAGCUUGUUGGUGAGGUAAAAGCUCACCAAGGCAUCGAUGGGUAGCUGGUCUGAGAGGAUGAUCAGCCACACUGGAACUGAGACACGGUCCAGACUCCUACGGGAGGCAGCAGUCGGGAAUCUUGCACAAUGGGCGAAAGCCUGAUGCAGCAACGCCGCGUGAGGGAUGAAGGCCCUCGGGUCGUAAACCUCUGUCGGGAGGGAAGAAAGCGCUUUGGACCAAUACUCCAGAGCGUCGACGGUACCUCCAAAGGAAGUGCCGGCUAACUCCGUGCCAGCAGCCGCGGUAAUACGGAGGGCACUAGCGUUGUUCGGAAUUAUUGGGCGUAAAGCGCGUGUAGGCGGCUGGGUAAGUCGGAUGUGAAAGCCCGGGGCUCAACCCCGGAAUUGCAUUCGAAACUGCCUGGCUAGAGUCUCGGAGAGGAGGGCGGAAUUCCCGGUGUAGAGGUGAAAUUCGUAGAUAUCGGGAGGA